UAUAAAACAUAUUCUUUCUUGGAGUAUAUUUGAAUUCAGGUUGCUAAAAAACAAACAACAAAACAUAUUCUUGACAUUAACCAGAGAGCAUUUUUAAGUAGCGAAAAUUUGCCUAGUCUUGGAAGACAGUGAUAAAUUUAACCUAAAGGGUCUUAGUUAUCUUUCUGUUUAAAAGUUAAAGUAUAAGGACUCAAAUAUUAAAUCCUAAGAAUUACAUCCAAUAUCAAAUUCCCUACUGGAUGUCUCAUGGGAAAACCAAAACAAACAAACAAACAAACAAAAAAUAUCAAAUUCCUAUUAGAACCUGCCAAUGGUUACCUGACAAAUCUGAAUCACUCGCUCACGUGUCCACUUUAACUCGAGCCAGUGGCUGGCUCUGACUAGAAACUCAGACACCACAGCAGGUUGGCUCUCAUGACUUCCCUGUAUUCAUGUGCUCUGGUCUUGCCUGCAGGUGUUAAAUGACUACCAGAUCCCCAGCACCAUAUCAAGGAGAAGCUUCCUAGGAGAGCUACUGGUGAUGGAACAACAUUGGAAGAUGAAGUGUCACAACAGACUGGAAGGCUGUAUAGAAUUAUGCCACGCUGAGGAAAGGCUUCCAAAGGGUACAGAAAUGAGUCCUAUCAGGUUGAUAUUUGCAAGACACCGUCUAACCUAAGAGAGUCCUGAGGUGUCCUCCAACAGGAAGAUGUCCUGGACCCUGUGGAUAGAUGGUCAGGGGAUGCGAUGUGACUGCCAGGGUGGCCUGGCCACUCCCAACAGACCACAAAUGCUGACUUCAGAAUCUCUGGCACUUUCUAAAAUGUGGCUGAGCAGUAAUUUGGAAGCCUAAAUCCUGACUUCAGGAAUUCAUAAGAACAACCAAUGUUUUAUAAACUCAACAGAAAGUAAAAUAAACAAACCCAGGGUUUUACGCUCCCUCUUGUUAUUUUUAUGGCAAUCUUUCAAACUAGUUCAAAAUGUUCAAUCCUCUGCCCUCUCAAAACUACUGAGUUUGGGGAUGGGGGUGGGGGACAAACAACUAAAUAGUAACCAGCAUACACUGCAAUUCACCACAGGGAAGAGCUAAGGAGAUCUGGUAGUGAAAGAGUACAGGUGGCUUUCAGGCUGACAUUGAAGUCUCUCUCCUUCCCAACUUUCUCACUGAGAAGGGCCCAGCAAAGAAAACAAGAAUGUUUAUAUUUACCCAGAAG